rnacentral:rRNA from 1 species
AGUCACUGACAUUAGAUACCCGCGUAGUCCAGGGUGUAAACGCUGCAGACUUGGUGUUGGAAGCCCUUUGGGGGCAUUCAGUGCCGGAGAGAAGUUGUUAAGUCUGCUACUUGGGAGUACGUCCGCAAGGAUGAAACUUAAAGGAAUUGGCGGGGGAGCACCGCAACGGGAGGAGCGUGCGGUUUAAUUGGAUUCAACACCGUAAACUCACCAGGGAAGACUGUUACAUGAAGGCCGAGAUGAAGACUCUGCCAGAUUUUCAG